GGUUAGUAACGCGUGGGAAUAUACCCUUCUCUACGGAAUAGCCUCGGGAAACUGAGAGUAAUACCGUAUAAGCCCUUCGGGGGAAAGAUUUAUCGGUGAAGGAUUAGCCCGCGUUAGAUUAGAUAGUUGGUGGGGUAAUGGCCUACCAAGUCUACGAUCUAUAGCUGGUUUGAGAGGAUGAUCAGCAACACUGGGACUGAGACACGGACCAGACUCCUACGGGAGGCAGCAGUGAGGAAUAUUGGACAAUGGACGAAAGUCUGAUCCAGCCAUGCCGCGUGAAGGAUGAAUGCCCUAUGGGUUGUAAACUUCUUUUAUAUAGGAAGAAACCUCUGGAUUUAUCCAGAGCUGACAUUACUAUACGAAUAAGCAUCGGCUAACUCCGUGCCAGCAGCCGCGGUAAUACGGAGGAUGCAAGCGUUAUCCGGAUUUAUUGGGUUUAAAGGGUCCGUAGGCGGAAUUUUAAGUCAGUGGUGAAAGCCUGCAGCUCAACUGUAGAACUGCCAUUGAUACUGAAAUUCUUGAAUAUAUAUGAAGUGGGCGGAAUGCGUCAUGUAGCGGUGAAAUGCACAGAUAUGACGCAGAACACCAAUUGCGAAGGCAGCUCACUAAUGUAUUAUUGACGCUGAGGGACGAAAGCAUGGGGAGCGAACAGGAUUAGAUACCCUGGUAGUCCAUGCCGUAAACGAUGAUUAU
rnacentral:rRNA from 1 species